UACGCAGGGUGCAAGCGUUGUCCGGAAUUAUUGGGCGUAAAGAGCUCGUAGGCGGCUUGUCGCGUCGGCUGUGAAAACCUGGGGCUCAACCCCGGGCCUGCAGUCGAUACGGGCAGACUAGAGUCCGGCAGGGGAGACUGGAAUUCCUGGUGUAGCGGUGAAAUGCGCAGAUAUCAGGAGGAGCACCGGUGGCGAAGGCGGGUCUCUGGGCCGGAACUGACGCUGAGGAGCGAAAGCGUGGGGAGCGAACAGG
rnacentral:rRNA from 1 species